rnacentral:rRNA from 1 species
ACGGGUGCGUAACACGUGAGCAACCUGCCCCGAAGACUGGGAUAACACCGGGAAACCGGUGCUAAUACCGGAUGCCUUCACCAUGUCGCAUGGCGAGGUGAAGAAAUGGAUUCCGCUUCGGGAUGGGCUCGCGGCCUAUCAGCUUGUUGGUGGGGUAAUGGCCUACCAAGGCAACGACGGGUAGCUGGUCUGAGAGGAUGUCCAGCCACACUGGGACUGAGACACGGCCCAGACUCCUACGGGAGGCAGCAGUUAGGAAUCUUGCGCAAUGGGCGAAAGCCUGACGCAGCGAUGCCGCGUGCGGGAUGAAGGCCUUCGGGUCGUAAACCGCUUUCAGCAGGGACGAUAAUGACGGUACCUGCAGAAGAAGCCCCGGCCAACUACGUGCCAGCAGCCGCGGUAAUACGUAGGGGGCGAGCGUUGUCCGGAUUUAUUGGGCGUAAAGAGCUCGUAGGCGGUUUGGUAAGUCGGGUGUGAAAUCUCCACGCUCAACGUGGAGGGGCCACUCGAUACUGCCAUGACUCGAGUCCGGUAGAGGAGUGUGGAAUUCCCGGU